AUUGAACGCUGGCGGCAUGCUUUACACAUGCAAGUCGAACGGUAACAGGUUAAGCUGACGAGUGGCGAACGGGUGAGUAAUGCAUCGGAACGUGCCCGGUCGUGGGGGAUAACGCAGCGAAAGCUGCGCUAAUACCGCAUACGAUCUAAGGAUGAAAGCGGGGGACCGUAAGGCCUCGCGCGAUCGGAGCGGCCGAUGUCAGAUUAGGUAGUUGGUGGGGUAAAGGCUCACCAAGCCAACGAUCUGUAGCUGGUCUGAGCGGACGACCAGCCACGCUGGGACUGAGACACGGCCCAGACUCCUACGGGAGGCAGCAGUGGGGAAUUUUGGACAAUGGGCGAAAGCCUGAUCCAGCAAUGCCGCGUGCAGGAAGAAGGCCUUCGGGUUGUAAACUGCUUUUGUACGGAGCGAAAAGGUCUCCUCUAAUACAGGGGGCUCAUGACGGUACCGUAAGAAUAAGCACCGGCUAACUACGUGCCAGCCGCCGCCGUAA
rnacentral:rRNA from 1 species